UCUUCCUGUUUAAAAAAAGCACACACAAAUCAAAGGACAAAGGACAAAUGAGGUAUUAGCUACUGUUAGUACCUACCAUUAGAUGCCAUGCAAAAAAUACUGCCUCCACUCUUAUUUGGGGUGGAGUGAGAGAGAAAGAACGCAAAACAGGCCCAGAGACAAAAUGGUACACAGGUAGCUUUAGCUAAACCCCUUGUUUAUGGACUUGUUCCCCUCACUUCUUGGAGAAAAUAGCAAACAAAAACAAAAUGGCAUUCCUGACCUAACAGCUGUAGAUGGCAGAGGAGCAGAGGGACACGGACAGAAUAUCGGUCCGAACCCAGCAGAAUUGAUCAUUGCUCUUACCCUGCGAUUUCUGCUCCUGGGCACUGGUGUUGGAGGAAGCCGACUGACUCUUGUAAGAAACUUUUAAAAUAAAAACCUAAGUUACAUCUGUUCUUCAGAUGCAGGACUUCUGUUCUUCUGGAAUAUUUUUAAGGUACCCGUGCCCCUUAG